GACGAACCUUGCUAACGUUAUUCGGAAUUACUGGGCUUAAAGGGUGCGUAGGCGGUGCAGAAAGUUGGGUGUGAAAUCCCUCGGCUCAACCGAGGAAUUGCGCCCAAAACUGUUGCACUAGAGGAAGACAGAGGUACGCGGAACUUAGGGUGGAGCGGUGAAAUGCGUUGAUAUCCUAAGGAACACCGGUGGCGAAAGCGGCGGACUGGGUCUUAUCUGACGCUGAGGCACGAAAGCUAGGGGAGCGAACGGG
rnacentral:rRNA from 1 species